CCCAGCUUGAAAAAGGAUGUUAGCAUCCCCUCCCUUCUGCCGACCUACCUCCUCUUGUAGCAACCUGGCGCCCCCUCGACAACUCAUGGAGGACUUCUUGCAGGGGAGGUAACAUUGACAGGCUCUUCAGUGGAGAAACCUGACAGAUGCCACCUUAACCCAGUAAUCAAAGCUAACAGCCCAAGUACAUGGAUGACACCUGCUGCCCCCAAUAUGAUAUGGUUCAUUGAGAAGAACAUAGCAACAUUUGUGUGAUGUUUCUACCAAAAAUACAUUAUUGCAUCUUAUGAAGACGCAAGAAACAAACCCAGACUGAGUGGCAUCCUACAAAAUAACUGGUCUCUACUCUUUUAAAGAGUCAAUAUUAUGAAAGACAAAGGCGAAGAAGCUGUUCUAAUUGAAGUAGAAUAGAGACGUGGCAAGUGAGUGCAUUGAUUAAUGCGAGAUCUUCUUUUGUUAUAAAGAGCAUCACUGGGACUACUGUCGAAGAUUAAAGUGUUGUAUCAAUGUUAAUUUCCCAGUCUUGAGAAUUUUACUGUAGUUACAUGACAAUGGUUUUAGGAAAUAAAUGUUGAAAUAUUGUAGGGUAAAGGAGCAUUAUGUGCGAAAAGUAUUCUCAAACAGUAAUGAGAAAAAAUGUGUUAGAGGGAGAAAUAAAGAAAAUGCAGUAAAGUGUUAACAUUUUAGGAAUCUGGGUGAAAAAUAUACAAGAAUUGUUUGUAUUAUUCACCCAACUUAUAGUUAUGUAAGUCUUAACUUUAAAAAGUUUAAAAACAAGCAGUGGGGCCUGGCCAAAAACAAAAGGUUGUCUUUGAACAAGGGAAUACACAGUAACUUGCUGUUUGCUCUCUGGCCAGCAGAAGAGCAAAGGAUUCAUGUGAGUAAGAAUAAACCUGUGUUUAAGCCCUGGCUUCCCCCAUGUCGCAGAUUGAAGAAAGGUGACUCAUGGCUCAGUGUAAGAUUUCAACUCAUUUGGGUAAAGAUCUAGGAUUGUGACUGGAUCAUAUGGUAAGAAUGUGUUUAAUUUUGUAUGAAACUGUC
rnacentral:lncRNA from 1 species